rnacentral:rRNA from 1 species
GACGAACGCUGGCGGCGUGCUUAACACAUGCAAGUCGAACGGAAAGGCCCUGCCUGCAGGCUACUCGAGUGGCGAACGGGUGAGUAACACGUGGGUGAUCUGCCCUGCACUUCGGGAUAAGCCUGGGAAACUGGGUCUAAUACCGGAUAGGAGCCAUUUUUAGUGUGAUGGUUGGAAAGUUUUUUCGGUGUAGGAUGAGCUCGCGGCCUAUCAGCUUGUUGGUGGGGUAAUGGCCUACCAAGGCGGCGACGGGUAGCCGGCCUGAGAGGGUGGACGGCCACAUUGGGACUGAGAUACGGCCCAGACUCCUACGGGAGGCAGCAGUGGGGAAUAUUGCACAAUGGGCGCAAGCCUGAUGCAGCGACGCCGCGUGGGGGAUGACGGCCUUCGGGUUGUAAACUCCUUUCGCUAGGGACGAAGCUUUUUGUGACAGUACCUAGAGAAGAAGCACCGGCUAACUACGUG